rnacentral:rRNA from 1 species
GAUGAACGCUGGCGGCGUGCCUAAUACAUGCAAGUCGAGCGAACGGACGAGAAGCUUGCUUCUCUGAUGUUAGCGGCGGACGGGUGAGUAACACGUGGAUAACCUACCUAUAAGACUGGGAUAACUUCGGGAAACCGGAGCUAAUACCGGAUAAUACUUUGAACCGCAUGGUUCAAAAGUGAAAGACGGUCUUGCUGUCACUUAUAGAUGGAUCCGCGCUGCAUUAGCUAGUUGGUAAGGUAACGGCUUACCAAGGCAACGAUGCAUAGCCGACCUGAGAGGGUGAUCGGCCACACUGGAACUGAGACACGGUCCAGACUCCUACGGGAGGCAGCAGUAGGGAAUCUUCCGCAAUGGGCGAAAGCCUGACGGAGCAACGCCGCGUGAGUGAUGAAGGUCGUCGGAUCGUAAAACUCUGUUAUUAGGGAAGAACAGAUGUGUAAGUAACUGUGCACAUCUUGACGGUACCUAAUCAGAAAGCCACGGCUAACUACGUG